rnacentral:rRNA from 1 species
GGAAUAUUGCACAAUGGGCGAAAGCCUGAUGCAGCAACGCCGCGUGCGGGAUGAAGGCCUUCGGGUUGUAAACCGCUUUCGCCAGGGGCGAAUACCAGACGGUACCUGGAGAAGAAGCACCGGCUAACUACGUGCCAGCAGCCGCGGUGAUACGUAGGGUGCGAGCGUUGUCCGGAUUUAUUGGGCGUAAAGGGCUCGUAGGUGGUUUGUUGCGUCGGAAGUGAAAACCUGCAGCUUAACUGUGGGCUUGCUUUCGAUACGGGCAGACUUGAGGAAGGUAGGGGAGAACGGAAUUCCUGGUGGAGCGGUGGAAUGCGCAGAUAUCAGGAGGAACACCGGUGGCGAAGGCGGUUCUCUGGACCUUUCCUGACGCUGAGGAGCGAAAGCGUGGGGAGCAAACA